AUACGAAGGGGGCUAGCGUUGUUCGGAAUUACUGGGCGUAAAGCGUACGUAGGCGGAUUGUUAAGUGAGGGGUGAAAUCCCGAGGCUCAACCUCGGAACUGCCUUUCAUACUGGCAAUCUUGAGUCCGGGAGAGGUGAGUGGAACUCCUAGUGUAGAGGUGAAAUUCGUAGAUAUUAGGAAGAACACCAGUGGCGAAGGCGGCUCACUGGCCCGGAACUGACGCUGAGGUACGAAAGCGUGGGGAGCAAACAGGAUUAGAUACCCUGGUAGUCCACGCCGUAAACGAUGGAUGCUAGCCGUCGGGGAGCUUGCUCUUCGGUGGCGCAGCUAACGCAUUAAGCAUCCCGCCUGGGGAGUACGGUCGCAAGAUUAAA
rnacentral:rRNA from 1 species